rnacentral:rRNA from 1 species
GGCCAGCAGCCGCGGUAAUACGGAGGAGGCAAGCGUUAUCCGGAAUUAUUGGGCGUAAAGCGUCCGUAGGUGGUUGUUCAAGUCUUCUGUCAAAGCGCGGAGCUUAACUCCGUAAAGGCAGAGGAAACUGAGCGGCUAGAGUGCGAUAGGGGCAGAGGGAAUUCCCAGUGUAGCGGUGAAAUGCGUAGAUAUUGGGAAGAACACCGGUGGCGAAAGCGCUCUGCUGGGUCUGCACUGACACUGAGGGACGAAAGCUAGGGGAGCGAAAGGGAUUAGAUACCCCUGUAGUCCUAGCUGUAAACGAUGGGUACUAGGCGUUGUCCGUAUCGACCCGGGCAGUGCCGUAGCUAACGCGUUAAGUACCCCGCCUGGGGAGUACGCUCGCAAGAGUGAAACUUAAAGGAAUUGGCGGGGGAC